GAUGAACGCUGGCAGCGUGCCUAAUACAUGCCAGUCGAGCGAACGGACGAGAAGCUUGCUUCUCUGAUGUUAGCGGCGGACGGGUGAGUAACACGUGGAUAACCUACCUAUAAGACUGGGAUAACUUCGGGAAACCGGAGCUAAUACCGGAUAAUAUUUUGAACCGCAUGGUUCAAAAGUGAAAGACGGUCUUGCUGUCACUUAUAGAUGGAUCCGCGCUGCAUUAGCUAGUUGGUAAGGUAACGGCUUACCAAGGCAACGAUGCAUAGCCGACCUGAGAGGGUGAUCAGCCACACUGGAACUGAGACACGGUCCAGACUCCUACGGGAGGCAGCAGUAGGGAAUCUUCCGCAAUGGGCGAAAGCCUGACGGAGCAACGCCGCGUGAGUGAUGAAGGUCUUCGGAUCGUAAAACUCUGUUAUUAGGGAAGAACAUAUGUGUAAGUAACUGUGCACAUCUUGACGGUACCUAAUCAGAAAGCCACGGCUAACUACGUG
rnacentral:rRNA from 1 species